GAAAGACUAAGGAUUCCUCCGCUACGUCAAUCAACGGAGGGUAAGUCGGAUCCUAAGGAUAAUGCGAAAGCAGAGGCCGAUGGGAAUCAGGUUAAAAUUCCUGAACCACUAAUAGUUUCGAAGCGGGGACGGACUUUAAAGCUUCAUACGAACUGACGGAAUAGUUCGUUGAGAGGAGACUUCGGUUGAAUCGAAUGAGGGGAUAAGGUUCCAAGAAAAGCCGAUAAGUUAUGAUUAAUAGUGACCGUACCGCAAACCGACACAGGUGGGCGGGAUGAGUAUUCUAAGGCGCUUGAGAGAACUCAGGAGAAGGAACUCGGCAAAUUGAUACCGUAACUUCGGGAGAAGGUAUGCCCCAAGUAGGUGAACUCGUACAGAGGGAGCCCAAAGGGGUUGCAAAAAAUCGGUGGCUGCGACUGUUUAAUAAAAACACAGCACUCUGCAAACACGAAAGUGGACGUAUAGGGUGUGACGCCUGCCCGGUGCUGGAAGAUUAAAUGAUGGGGUGCAAGCUCUUGAUUGAAGUCCCAGUAAACGGCGGCCGUAACUAUAACGGUCCUAAGGUAGCGAAAUUCCUUGUCGGGUAAGUUCCGACCUGCACGAAUGGUGUAAUGAUGGCCAGGCUGUCUCCACCAGAGACUCAGUGAAAUUGAAAUUGCGGUGAAGAUGCCGUAUACCCGCGGCUAGACGGAAAGACCCCGUGAACCUUUACUAUAGCUUGGCACUGAACAUUGACCCUGUAUGUGUAGGAUAGGUGGGAGACUUUGAAGUUGGAACGCCAGUUCUGAUGGAGUCGUCCUUGAAAUACCACCCUUGCAUGUUUGAUGUUCUAACGUAGGCCCCUAAUCGGGGUUGCGGACAGUGUCUGGUGGGUAGUUUGACUGGGGCGGUCUCCUCCUAAAGAGUAACGGAGGAGCACGAAGGUUGGCUAAGUACGGUCGGACAUCGUACGGUUAGUGCAAAGGCAGAAGCCAGCUUAACUGCGAGACAGACACGUCGAGCAGGUACGAAAGUAGGUCUUAGUGAUCCGGUGGUUCUGUAUGGAAGGGCCAUCGCUCAACGGAUAAAAGGUACUCUGGGGAUAACAGGCUGAUACCGCCCAAGAGUUCAUAUCGACGGCGGUGUUUGGCACCUCGAUGUCGGCUCAUCUCAUCCUGGGGCUGUAGCCGGUCCCAAGGGUAUGGCUGUUCGCCAUUUAAAGAGGUACGUGAGCUGGGUUUAAAACGUCGUGAGACAGUUUGGUCCCUAUCUGCCGUGGGCGUUGGAAAUUUGAAGGGGGCUGUUCCUAGUACGAGAGGACCGGAAUGAACGAACCGCUGGUGUUCGGGUUGUCAUGCCAAUGGCACUGCCCGGUAGCUACGUUCGGAACGGAUAACCGCUGAAAGCAUCUAAGCGGGAAACUCGUUUCAAGAUGAGAUCUGCCGGGGCCUUGAGCCCCCUAAAGAGUCGUUCAAGACCAGGACGUUGAUAGGUCAGGUGUGGAAGCGCAGUAAUGCGUUAAGCUAACUGAUACUAAUUGCUCGUGCGGCUUGACC
rnacentral:rRNA from 1 species